AGUGAACGCUGGCGGUAGGCCUAACACAUGCAAGUCGAACGGCAGCACAGUAAGAGCUUGCUCUUACGGGUGGCGAGUGGCGGACGGGUGAGAAAUACAUCGGAAUCUACUUUUUCGUGGGGGAUAACGUAGGGAAACUUACGCUAAUACCGCAUACGACCUACGGGUGAAAGCAGGGGAUCUUCGGACCUUGCGCGAUUGAAUGAGCCGAUGUCGGAUUAGCUAGUUGGCGGGGUAAAGGCCCACCAAGGCGACGAUCCGUAGCUGGUCUGAGAGGAUGAUCAGCCACACUGGAACUGAGACACGGUCCAGACUCCUACGGGAGGCAGCAGUGGGGAAUAUUGGACAAUGGGCGCAAGCCUGAUCCAGCCAUACCACGUGGGUGAAGAAGGCCUUCGGGUUGUAAAGCCCUUUUGUUGGGAAAGAAAAGCAGCAGGUUAAUACCCCGCUGUUCUGACGGUACCCAAAGAAUAAGCACCGGCUAACUUCGUG
rnacentral:rRNA from 1 species